UACAGGGGGGGCAAGCGUUGUUCGGAAUUACUGGGCGUAAAGGGCUCGUAGGCGGCCAACUAAGUCACACGUGAAAUCCCCAGGCUUAACCUGGGAACUGCGUCUGAUACUGGAUGGCUUGAGUUCGGGAGAGGGAUGCGGAAUUCCAGGUGUAGCGGUGAAAUGCGUAGAGAUCGGGAGGAACACCAGUGGCGAAGGCGACCUUCUGGACCAGUACUGACGCUCAUGCACGAAAGCGUGGGGAGCAAACAGG
rnacentral:rRNA from 1 species